UUGCUCCCGGAUGUUAGCGGCGGACGGGUGAGUAACACGUGGGUAACCUGCCUGUAAGACUGGGAUAACUCCGGGAAACCGGAGCUAAUACCGGAUAGUUCCUUGAACCGCAUGGUUCAAGGAUGAAAGACGGUUUCGGCUGUCACUUACAGAUGGACCCGCGGCGCAUUAGCUAGUUGGUGAGGUAACGGCUCACCAAGGCGACGAUGCGUAGCCGACCUGAGAGGGUGAUCGGCCACACUGGGACUGAGACACGGCCCAGACUCCUACGGGAGGCAGCAGUAGGGAAUCUUCCGCAAUGGACGAAAGUCUGACGGAGCAACGCCGCGUGAGUGAUGAAGGUUUUCGGAUCGUAAAGCUCUGUUGUUAGGGAAGAACAAGUGCAAGAGUAACUGCUUGCACCUUGACGGUACCUAACCAGAAAGCCACGGCUAACUACGUGCCAGCAGCCGCGGUAAUACGUAGGUGGCAAGCGUUGUCCGGAAUUAUUGGGCGUAAAGGGCUCGCAGGCGGUUUCUUAAGUCUGAUGUGAAAGCCCCCGGCUCAACCGGGGAGGGUCAUUGGAAACUGGGAAACUUGAGUGCAGAAGAGGAGAGUGG
rnacentral:rRNA from 1 species